GGAGUCAGCCAGGCAAUCGCGCUUGUUCGCAAGCGAGGAAAGUCCGGGCUUCAAUGGGCAGGGUGCCAGGUAACGCCUGGGCGGUGUGAGCCGACGGACAGUGCAACAGAGAAUAGACCGCCGAUGGCCCGCAAGGGAACAGGUAAGGGUGAAACGGUGCGGUAAGAGCGCACCGCGCAACUGGUAACAGUUUGUGGCACGGUAAACCCCACCCGAAGCAAGGCCAAAUAGGGGUGCAUUAGGUGUGGCCCGCACUGCACCCGGGUAGGCCGCUUGAGGGGUUUGGCGACAAACCUCCCAGAUGAAUGAUUGUCCGCGACAGAACCCGGCUUAUCGGCUGACUCCUUAU
rnacentral:RNase_P_RNA from 1 species